UAACGACUCUCGGCAACGGAUAUCUCGGCUCUCGCAUCGAUGAAGAACGUAGCGAAAUGCGAUACUUGGUGUGAAUUGCAGAAUCCCGUGAACCAUCAAGUCUUUGAACGCAAGUUGCGCCCGAAGCCAGUAGGCCGAGGGCACGCCUGCCUGGGUGUCUCGCA
rnacentral:rRNA from 1 species